GUACCUAUAGCUCAACUGGAUAGAGUGCCUGACUACGAAUCAGGAGGUUCGGGGUUCGAGUCCCUGUAGGUACACCA
rnacentral:tRNA from 1 species